rnacentral:rRNA from 1 species
AGCAGCCGCGGUAAUUCCAGCUCCAAUAGCGUAUAUUAAAGUUGUUGCAGUUAAAAAGCUCGUAGUUGAAUUUCGGGAUUGGCGCAUCGGUCGUGCCUCACGGGGUAUGAACUGGUGCAGUCAAUUUCUCACCUUCUGGAGAACCGCGAUGUCCUUAAUUGGGUGCCGUGGGGAACCAGGACCUUUACUUUGAAAAAAUUAGAGUGUUUAAAGCAGGCAUUUUUGCUUGAAUACAUUAGCAUGGAAUAAUAAAAUAGGACGGCAUGGUUCUAUUUUGUUGGUUUCUAGGACCACCGUAAUGAUUAAUAGGGAUAGUUGGGGGCAUUAGUAUUCAAUUGUCAGAGGUGAAAUUCUUGGAUUUAUUGAAGACUAACUACUGCGAAAGCAUUUGCCAAGGAUGUUUUCAUUAAUCAAGAACGAAAGUUAGGGGAUCGAAGACGAUCAGAUACCGUCGUAGUCUUAACCAUAAACUAUGCCGACUAGGAAUCAGACGAUGUUAAUUUUUAAUGUACUCGUUGGC